UUUCAAAGAAGCGGUCGGCUCUUCUGUGUGCUUCGUGUUCAUUGGGUGGCAUCCACAGUGUUCAGCGCUUUUGCCAAGAGGUGAGCGCGCAGGCGAUGAAAAAAAAAGGUAGCUAAGGGGAUCUUAGCAUUCUUGUAGGCUUUCAGGCAUCCACGGCGGCAUUUAUUUAGAGCACGUGCGCGCUCUGGAACCGAGACGCACGUACACACACUCACACACACGUGCACCACUACAUCAUACCCUCCGCCCGUUUCUCACUCUGACACGUGCCUGGCCUUUUCGCGGUUGUUUAACUGCUGAGGGGCUGAGUUGUGUCGCUUGUGUGGUGUGUGCGCGUGCAUUCCACCCCUUUCUCCUGCCAGCUCCUUGGGCGAGUUUUCCUUUCUUCUCCCCACGCUUUAUUGCAAGCGCAAUGAGCCAUAGCCGACACAGUGAGAGGCGAGAGAGUCGCCGCGAGCGGCGGAAGGAAAGUCGACACAGUGUCAAGAAGCACCACCAUCACCGCAGCAGCGGCGGCAGCUCUCGGCAUCGUCAUAAUGUCAUUAACGAGAAAACUCCAGUGCCGCGCGACUUUCACUGCCACAUUUGCGGCAAGACGCACUGGACAGUGUACUGCGAUCGACUGCAGCAGCAUCCGGAGAACUACCCGCUGAUGGAUGCAGAGCGGGGCUGCCGCCAGUGUGGUCAGCAGGGACACUCGGCGUCGCAGUGCCGCAUCAAGAAGUACCUGUGCCGCGACUGCGGUGGCAUGCACGACACUCGCGACUGCGUCUUCUCCCACGUUGGCGAGGACUGGUAUGAGUUCUAUGAUCCCAAGACCCGCCAUGUCUACUAUGCGAACUCUGAUGAGUCUCAAAUCCAGUGGAACCCGCCAACGCAUCAACUUGACACCAUCUACUGGUACUGUAGUCGGUGCCAGGUGAUGAUAUCCGCCAAGUUCCGCGAGUGUCUUCUGUGUCACUCCAUCCGCCCUGAGUCGAAGCAACAGGAGACGCUCACAACGGACUCCGGCUCGGACAGCAGCAGUUCCAGCUCUACCUUCAGUAACAGCAGCAGUAGCGAUACCAGCUGUAUCAGCCCCAGCAGUAGCAGCUCCGGCAGCACCAGCAGCAGCGAUAGUAGCAGUGACGACGACGAGCGAAGCGCCGCUGGAAGGGUCCGUGAUAAAGCACCGUAGGCUCAUAAGGGCAAUCGAUCUAGAUGCCCUGUUUCUGAGCGCUGCAAUCUGUUUUUCUUUUUUGAAGAACUUGCUUUCACCACAAGCAAGGCAAGGGGAGAGGUUGCGAGGUCAAGAUCCAAGUGCAGAGUUUGGAGACGCGUGCACAGCCAACCUUCUGCCCUCUCCGCCUCCCUCGAUGUCUCUCUCUACGUGUGUGUGCGUGUGUAAUUGCGGAUCGUCACUCGCUUGGUUAUCAUUAUUAUUUUUCUCUUCCUCUUUUUUUCGCGAUUAACCACCACCACCUCCGACUGAAGCAAAAACGCCGACGGUGAGGGAGGGAGGAGCGGGGUGGGAGCGAGGCGGCUGGCACAACGCCCACAAACAAAGCAAAUAGUAAGAAGCACGGAGCAAGUGAAUCUUCUGCCUCUCCACCGCCAUCGCCGCCUUUUCUGCUGUUGUUUGUUUUAUAUACCUCUUUCUCUCUUUCUCUUGUACCAUGACGCUCAUGAGUUAGCAUCUAACCCACCCACCCUACUCUUUCUACACUCACACACCGACACAGACACAGACACAGACACACGCGCUAAGAAAACAAGGACAACAGCAAACAUCCACGGAGCAGCACGGGCGAUGCUCUCUUUCUAAUUGAUUUUUUUCAGCUCAAGAUAGACUUCGGCACUGUGGCCUAUCCUUUCGUUUUUAAGGACUUUUGCUCUCCUUGUGAGCAUGGCGGCGUGGGUUGAAGUCGUCUUCGAUACCACAGUGUGAGCAUUCCCCCUCUCCCUCCUCCGCUACAUGCGCUGUCGAU
rnacentral:misc_RNA from 1 species